GACGAACGCUGGCGGCGUGCUUAACACAUGCAAGUCGAACGGAAAGGCCCUGCUUUUGUGGGGUGCUCGAGUGGCGAACGGGUGAGUAACACGUGAGUAACCUGCCCUUGACUUUGGGAUAACUUCAGGAAACUGGGGCUAAUACCGGAUAGGAGCUCCUGCUGCAUGGUGGGGGUUGGAAAGUUUCGGCGGUUGGGGAUGGACUCGCGGCUUAUCAGCUUGUUGGUGGGGUAGUGGCUUACCAAGGCUUUGACGGGUAGCCGGCCUGGGAGGGUGACCGGCCACAUUGGGACUGGGAUGCGGCCCAGACUCCUACGGGAGGCGGCAGUGGGGAAUAUUGCACAAUGGGCGGAAGCCUGAUGCAGCAACGCCGCGUGCGGGAUGACGGCCUUCGGGUUGUAAACCGCUUUCGCCUGUGACGAAGCGUGAGUGACGGUAAUGGGUAAAGAAGCACCGGCUAACUACGUG
rnacentral:rRNA from 1 species